AAGCAUUUUCACACAAGUAAAGGAGAAGGGGCUAUAAUGCAGUAGUUUGUGGUCCGGUUCAGAUUGUCAACAGUAGAAUCCUCUGGAGUCCGUUGUGGCUUUUAUGUUUGUUUUCAUUGGGCAGUUCAGAAUUUUAGUCUCCCACGACUGAGGAUUGCGUACUUUUUUUUCUUUCUGUUUCAUCAUAUCAAUGUUGAAGGAAAAGCAGGUAUUUGAGUAAACCUCCCCUGGUGUUACUUUCUGUAACAUAAAUCCUGUUUGAAAGUCUCUGCCUGUGACAGAACAUCUGAAGAAGAUCCRGUAUAUACCUGCAGAGGCUACAGAGGAAAUCACAAGUCCUGCGUAUGAAAUGAAUAAGGAAAUUUUCAAAUGCCUCAAUGGUGCCGGAAUCAGAGCCUCCAUUCUGCGGCCACUUUGACGACCGUUCAGCUUAUCGCCUGUGGGACAUGGUGAAAUCUUGUCGCUUUAAGAAGGGCCACUGCACAGCYGAAGACUUUGAGUCUAAGGCUCUCCAGUCCAGUUCUCCAUCACUUGCUCCAUCCUACUGUCAAGAUACCAAAAUACUUGAUCUAUGUUGCUUAAGUUAGAGACUCCUCCCCAACUCCAAGUGAACGUUCAGCUUUUAUCGGAUCAGGAAAAUGACCUUGGACUUCCCAGUCACUUCCCAUUUGGCUGCAAACUGAGCUGAGGAUCAUGGACCAUCAGUAACAGUGAGAACGUCAGAUCUGUUUUUCAAUUGUUUGUUUUUAUUCACUUUUAUUUUACUAUUGAAUACCAGAUCUUCUUAUCUUGCUUUUUUU